rnacentral:tRNA from 1 species
GCCCACGUGGCGGAAUUGGCAGACGCGCUAGGUUGAGGGCCUAGUGAGGUAACACUCGUACAGGUUCAAGUCCUGUCGUGGGCAC